AGAUUGAACGCUGGCGGCAGGCCUAACACAUGCAAGUCGGGCGGUAGAGAGGUGCUUGCACCUCUUGAGAGCGGCGGACGGGUGAGUAAAGCCUAGGAAUCUGCCUGGUAGUGGGGGAUAACGCUCGGAAACGGACGCUAAUACCGCAUACGUCCUACGGGAGAAAGCAGGGGACCUUCGGGCCUUGCGCUAUCAGAUGAGCCUAGGUCGGAUUAGCUAGUUGGUGAGGUAAUGGCUCACCAAGGCGACGAUCCGUAACUGGUCUGAGAGGAUGAUCAGUCACACUGGAACUGAGACACGGUCAGACUCGUACGGGAGGCAGCAGUGGGAAUAUGGACAAAUGGGCGAAAGCCUGAGUCCAAGGCCAGUGACCGCGUACGUGUAGGAAGUAAGGUCGUUACGGAUUUGGAAAAGCCGUAACGUUUAAGGUUGGGAAGGAAGGG
rnacentral:rRNA from 1 species